rnacentral:ncRNA from 1 species
GCUUUUUUCGCCCAGGCGGAGCUCGACCGCUGACUAAAAUCAUGAUUCAAUUUAUCGACGACAAUAAACAUCUUUAUGGGGUCGAGCUGAUCUGUCGAGUAUUACCGAUUGCCCC